rnacentral:rRNA from 1 species
AGGACGAACGCUGGCGGCGUGCUUAACACAUGCAAGUCGAGCGGAAAGGCCCUUCGGGGUACUCGAGCGGCGAACGGGUGAGUAACACGUGAGCAACCUGCCCCUGGCUCUGGGAUAGCCUCCGGAAACGGGGAUUAAUACCGGACAUUCUCCGCCUUCCGCAUGGUUGGCGGUGGAAAGUUUUUUUCGGCCGGGGAGGGGCUCGCGGCCUAUCAGCUUGUUGGCGGGGUAACGGCCCACCAAGGCGACGACGGGUAGCC